CCAGAUGGACAGUCCCAAAGAGAAUGGUUUGUUUCCUUUCGUCUUCCUCCACGAUGCAUUUUACGAUUGCAGAGGGUCCUGCUUGCCAUGUGUUUGCUUCUAAUCUACUCGUUUGUGGAACGCACACGCUGUGCCAGGCAUUGUGCACAGAGAGACCCAGUUCCUGCCCUCUUGGAGUUUAUAUGACAUGAGCUGAAGACAGACAAGAAGCAAGUGUAAGAGCUACCAGAGGGAGGAAAGUGGAAGCUACCAGAUGGAGGAAGCAUAAACCAGGUCCUGAUCCCUGAUUAACUGAGAAUCAGCCAGCUUGGGAAGGGGAUGGCUGCGCAAGCCCACAGAACGCAAACUCCCAGAGGAGGCAGGGGUAGGAAAGCUCUUGGCCGUGGCCUGAUUGUCUGGGAGACAGGAGUCAAGAUGGCUUGGUUUCAACAAACUGGCUUUGAUUACUUGGCGUUUGGCUCUGUGCUCUCUGGCCAGGUCAGCCUGACCCAAGGUUGUCACCCCAGAGGACUGUGAAAUAACAAGUGCAGUUAACUGGCCACUGCUGAUCUGCGC
rnacentral:lncRNA from 1 species